rnacentral:rRNA from 1 species
GAGUUUGAUCAUGGCUCAGGAUGAACGCUAGCGGCAGGCUUAACACAUGCAAGUCGAGGGGUAGUUACUUUCGGGUAAUGAGACCGGCGCACGGGUGCGUAACGCGUAUGCAAUCUACCUUUUACAGGGGAAUAGCCCAGAGAAAUUUGGAUUAAUGCCCCAUGGUAUUAUAGAGUGGCAUCACUUUAUAAUUAAAGUUCCAACGGUAAAAGAUGAGCAUGCGUCCCAUUAGUUAGUUGGUAAGGUAACGGCUUACCAAGACGAUGAUGGGUAGGGGUCCUGAGAGGGAGAUCCCCCACACUGGUACUGAGACACGGACCAGACUCCUACGGGAGGCAGCAGUGAGGAAUAUUGGACAAU